rnacentral:rRNA from 1 species
UGUGUAGGCGGUUCUCUAAGUUUGGUGUGAAAUCUCCCGGCUCAACCGGGAGGGUGCGCCGAAAACUGGAGGGCUAGAGUGCGGGAAGGGAGAGUAGAAUUCCUGGUGUAGCGGUGAAAUGCGUAGAUAUCAGGAGGAAUACCGGUGGUGCAGACGGCUCUCUGGACCGCUACUGACGCUGAGACACGAAAGCGUGGGUAGCAAACAGGAUUAGAUACCCUGGUAGUCCACGCCCUAAACGAUGCAUAUUUGGUGUAGGUCAUUCAGUUGAUCUGUGCCGGAGCUAACGCGUUAAAUAUGCCGCCUGGGGAGUACAGUCGCAAGGCUGAA